AGAGAGAGACAUGCGCGCAUAUCAAUAAGCGGAGGAAAAGAAACUAACAAGGAUUCCCCUAGUAACGGCGAGUGAAGCGGGAAGAGCUCAAAUUUGAAAUCUUAAAGGGUUUCCCUUUACGAAUUGUAGUUUAAAGAAGUGUUUUCUGUUGAGGUUUUGGUAAAAGUUCUUUGGAAUAGGACAUCAUAGAGGGUGAGAAUCCCGUAUUUGACCUUUACUUUCAACUUUGUGAUACACUUUCAAAGAGUCGGAUUGUUUGGGAAUGCAGUCCAAAAUGGGUGGUAAAUUUCAUCUAAAGCUAAAUAUUGGCGAGAGACCGAUAGCGAACAAGUACCGUGAGGGAAAGAUGAAAAGAACUUUGAAAAGAGAGUUAAACAGUACGUGAAAUUGUCAAAAGGGAAGCGUUUGACACCAGUGUUGUUUUUCUGAGAAUCAAUUAAAGAACUGUUUAUGCUAAGUUGUUUAGACUUUAUCAGCUAACUGUUUAGUUUUGAGCUUUUCUUUAAUGCACUUUUCAGUUAACAAGUCAACAUCAAUUUCUUUUGCUGUAAAAAAGCUUGAGGAAGGUGGCUUGAGAUUCGUCUUAAGUGUUUAUAGCCUCUUGCCUAUGCAGUCGGAGAGAUUGAGGUCUGCAGCGUAGAUCCUUCGGGGCUAAAUGCAUUUGUGCUAAGUUAUAGCAUUUUAUAGACAACUUGUUGACUAUGAUUUGUCUUGUAGCUUACUCGCUUAUGUUAUUUUACCUACGCUUAGGAUGUUGACGCAUGAGAUAUACGC
rnacentral:rRNA from 1 species